UGGCGUUGUUCUGUUUUUAUUUGCAAUUCUGUGGCUUGUCGUUAUAUUAUAAUAAGUAAAACUUAUUUCAUGCAAGUGGAAGAAAAUGUUUUUAAAAGGUGAAUUUGAACACAUGGCAAUAACAUAACUUUUCACAAGGGCUUCUAUGCCACGUUUUCAGUACGUGGAAUCGAGUGUCGAAAGUAAUCAGGCAAUUACUCUGGUUUUGGUUUUGGUUUAACUACGGUUUGAGAUUGGGCUGCUAGUUUAAUUGGUUUAGAAGUAAUUGGUUUGGUUUUAGUUUUACGACACUCAAUUGAAAACCACUCUACCACUCUACCACUCUGGUCUUCAUAACAAAUAGUGUCCAAGAGCAAAUAGCUGUGCAUAUUUUUGAACCCAGUUGGAAGCUAAAUUCUAGGGCUCAUUAACAUUUUCAGCAGGAGGGUGACUGGUUUCCACAGGUGUACAAAACGUUUUGAACUGUGUUUCUCUGUAAGAAAAACUCUAUCCCAGAUGGCCAAACCAGACUGUCAAUCUGCCUUGGUGCCUGGCCCUUAAUGAAACUCCCUGUCAAUUGUUGAUGUCAUCAAAUUAUUACAUAUCCCUGAAUGCAAGUCCAGUGAUAAUAUUAUUAUAUGGCUAGCUCCUUGGCCAGACAAGAUUACUGUUAACACCGCUGGAUAAGCCGCACCUUUUUACUCAAAAUUUACCUUAAAAAUUGGGCAUGCGGCUUAUCUGCAAGAACCUCUGGACAACAUGCCAUAAAUUUGCAUAAAUUAACACUUUCUAUCAAAAAUUUAUAAGUCAGUUAAGAAAAUUAGUAAGAACUUCAGUAGACAAACAAUAUCAGAGUAUGCAUCAAUCAUUGCUAUUACAAGUUUGAUGGCUCCUAAAAGAAUUGUUUUUGUUCAUAAUCACAAGCUUACAUUUCUUGCUGUUAAACAGCCCUAAACCUUUGUUAAAAAAUCUUUUAGCCAGUGUAAAGCCGCAAUUCUAGCUCAUUCUAGAGCAGCUUUAGAAACUUACAUCGCACAGCAGGGAAUCUCCAUUCCGCCACAAAGCUGCUCAAAGAAAGCUUCAAAGGCUAUUUGUGUCCAGUACUCCAUCUCCUGAUGAAAUGCCUGGCUACUGUGUUAUGAAUGACCAAACGAAUGAAUGGAAGUGUUGUUGUUGUUGUAUGUUAAUUCUAUUGAAAAAUUGACAGGAAUGAAAAAAGAAUCCCAGUUGAAAAAUACUGGAGAAAAAUGAAACAUAUGUCAAAACUGGUAGACAUCAUGUCAGUGCUAUUGUAGAACUAAAAUUUUAGGUAAGGGUUUUAGUUUGAAGCAUUCUCUGUACUCAGUGUUAUUGAGUUUACACCGGUUUACAUUCAUUACAUGUAAAUCAAGAAAAGUACAUGAAAAGAAUGUUUCUCAAGACUUCACUUGUGAAUUAUUUUGAUUUCUUUCCAAAUUUUUUUUACCCAAAUUUGAGUUGCCAAACUCAGAAUGUGGCUUAUUUGCGAGUGCAGCUUAUCCACCAGUGGUUACGGUAACCAAAUCCUGCACUGUGAUUGGCUAUCCCAGCAGGCAAGAUGGCACUAUCUUGCCACUCACAACAGAAAAUUGUUCUUUUUCCCAAAUAAUGAUUCCCAUGUUUACCAACAGCUUGUUCAAUCAAGAUGGCUGAGUAUUGGCCUUGUUCAUUUUGUGUUUAUGGACCUUGACUCCAUUUUGGUCCAUGAACAUGCAAAGAAAGAACUUGGCAUAUCCAGUUACCUUGACCUCACACUUGGUCAAUAACCCAUAUGUAAUUGGACUUGAUGAAGCACAAUUCAGGGUGUAAUCAGGUGAGUAAUUUUGAAUCAAACAAGCUGCAGAACAAGGCCAAUUACUAAUGAUCCCAUCAAUAACCAAUUUCAAGUAAAAAAGAGUCAUUAGGGAAAUUCUUUUGAGCAAAAAAAAUCUUUCUUUUUUCCAUAAGUUUUUAACACUGUAGAAAUUAUUAUGUAAAGUAUGACUACUCAAAUCGGGCCACUUAGAAAAGAAGUAACCAAUCAGAACAUUAGUUGAGAACAAAGAAUAGUGAUCUUUUUCUCAAAUAAAUCAGUAACAUUGAAGAAUACAAACAAUAGAUCUCAACAAAAUUAGAACCCUAAACAAGUGUUGCAGACCUCUCAGGCAACUUUGCCAUUUGCUGCUUGGUUACUUUUGAUCCUAAAUUUUGUGCGCUUUUCAACGGUUUCGGUUUAGUUGCCACAAAAUGAGUUUUCAAGUUAAAUGUUUUAAGCAAGAUUUAUAAUUAUGAUAAUUUGCCAUGAAGUACUGAAUAUCUAAGAGUGUAUAUAAUGCGGAGGAGUUGAUAGUACUUACAUGCUCAUGGCCAGGGCUUUCAUUAAGGGCCGUAACCUAUAACACCUGCCGCGGCUGAGUAUGUUUGAUGGACACUUGAUGUCGCAGGUGCACUGGACUAUAGUUGAUACAAUUCACCUAAAAGGUAACAAGUUUGUUACAGGUGUUAAGUUCAAAGCUGCAGUUAACUCAGAACUUAAUGGCAAUGAAUGGCAAACUGACUCUUAUUACUUGCCAACUGUAGAAAGCUAUCAGUCCACUGUUCUUAGUUUAUGUUUUGAUUGUCAGUUUUAUUCUAGGUGGUCUGGUUUGAGUAGUCGCACUGUAAGCAGAAAGCCAGUAAAGUGCAAAAUGAAACAAAGCAGACUAAAAGGAGUCCAGAUUUUCAAGACAAGACAUGAUGAUAUCAACAUGGAAACAAUUAUUGUACAAAACAGGAGCAACAAUGAAAGAUGUGCUGAGACUUGAGAGGAGAAAGAAUUACGUUGAGGCAUUGGAUUCCAUAUUAAAUACAAACCAGAAAGCCAUGUGCUUAGACUUAUAGGGAGAAAGAUUCAUAUCAAGACAUUAGAUUCCAUAUCAGGUUGUAAAACUUAAGAGACCAAGGAAUUUCAUGAAGAUUAAAACAUUUGCAGUUUCACACUAGACACAAAACAGAGAGGCAAGGAAAAGAGCUAUGAAUCAAGUUGAGACAUUGGAUCCCUU